CGAUAUCAAACAAAAUUAACAGCAUUUCCUGUGAUGAUUCUUCCUAGAACCCAUUCGACCUGCUGAGAUCACCGGUGUGAUUUUCUACGGUUUAUCCAUCCUGGCCGCCAUUGUCCUCAUCGUUGGGGUGCUGAAGAAAAACUACGCCCUAUGUUUGGUUUGGAUCCUAUGGGCGAUUUUCCAUCUGCUCGUUGCGACAGCCUUGGCGAUAGCCUUACUGGUACAUGUGUCUGGCGGGGCAGUCAUCGAGGCAAUAACUCUUCAGACGGAGGGGACCACGCUGUCAGCGUCAUAUGGAACUGUCGUCUUGGUGGCUGCCGUUCUGGCGUUGGUCUUCUUUUUUGUGAUGAGCCCUUUCUUGAUGUACGGCAUCGUGGUUGUGUGCUCCUACUACCGGAAGAUCAGAGGUGAUGAUGCAUAUGCCUAGACCAACUCGACAACAACCAUCAGUUUCCAUCUAUAUAUGAUAAAUGCAAUCAUACAUAACGUUAGAAUCCGUACAAACAAACACGCAUGUCGAACUAGGAAAACACUGUAACAAGGCAGUCUGUUAUAUCAAUUG